rnacentral:rRNA from 1 species
GGCUCAGGAUGAACGCGGGCGGCGUGCUUAACACAUGCAAGUCGAACGAUGAUCCCCAGCUUGCUGGGGGGAUUAGUGGCGAACGGGUGAGUAACACGUGAGUAACCUGCCCUUAACUCUGGGAUAAGCCUGGGAAACUGGGUUUAAUACCGGAUAUGACUCCUCAUCGCAUGGUGGGGGGUGGAAAGCUUUUUGUGGUUUUGGAUGGACUCGCGGCCUAUCAGCUUGUUGGUGAGGUAAUGGCUUACCAAGGCGACGACGGGUAGCCGGCCUGAGAGGGUGACCGGCCACACUGGGACUGAGACACGGCCCAGACUCCUACGGGAGGCAGCAGUGGGGAAUAUUGCACAAUGGGCGCAAGCCUGAUGCAGCGACGCCGCGUGAGGGAUGACGGCCUUCGGGUUGUAAACCUCUUUCAGUAGGGAAGAA